GCAAAAUUCCAAAGCAAUCCAGGCUGCAUUUAUUGAAUAUAUGAAAAAGAUGAGCAGAUCAGGCACAUGGGGUGUGGGCUAUGCAUUGAAUUUUGACUCAAAAAAUAAAUCAUUGAAGCCAGACCUUGUAAAACCCAUCUAGGAUACUCUCUUCCAAGCCAACACUUCUUCAUCUUCACAAUUCCACUUCCUUUUAUCAAAACUAGCAUGAAUCUCUCCCCUCUCUUCUUCCCUACUCUUGCUCUCUAUUGCCUCUGCUUCAAACUCACAUCAGCUGCCUGUCACGUGGAUGAUGAAGCGGGUCUCUUGGCUUUCAAAUCGGGUGUUACCAUGACCCAUCUGGUAUGCUUAGCUCGUGGAAGUCCGGCACCGAAUGCUGCACCUGGGCGGGUGUAACUUGCCUUGUUGACAACCGGGUCACGGCAAUAUCACUUUCCGGGCAAUCCGAAAAACCCAACAGCUUCUUAUCCGGUACAAUCUCACCAUCCCUAGUAAAAGUCCAAAAUCUUGAUGGCAUUUACUUUCAGAACUUGAGAAAUAUUACUGGCAAAUUCCCGGAUCUUAUAUUCGGGUUGCCCAAGCUCAAGUUUAUUUAUAUAGAAAACAAUAAGCUUUCGGGUCAAAUACCCAGUAACAUAGGAAAGUUAACCCAACUGGAGGCGCUGAGUUUAGAAGGGAAUCAAUUCAGUGGGUCAAUACCCACUUCAAUAUCCGAGUUAACUGGGUUGACACAACUCAAACUUGGUAAGAAUUUUCUCACUGGCACAAUCCCAGUUGGAAUUAGCAAAUUAAAGAGCUUGACCUUUCUAAGUCUUCAAUACAACCAACUUUCAGGCUCAAUUCCUGAGUUUUUCUCAUCAUUCACUAAUCUCAGAAUUCUUGAACUUUCCCACAACAAAUUUUCUGGGAAAAUCCCAACUUCAAUAUCAUUACUAGCACCAAAAUUGGCAUAUCUUGAGCUGGGUCACAACGCAUUAUCAGGACAAAUCCCAGAUUUUCUUGGAUCUUUUACAGCUCUAGACACACUAGAUCUGUCAGGAAACAAGUUCACAGGAACUGUACCAAAAAGUUUUGGGAACCUCACAAAAAUCUUCAGCCUUGACCUCUCCUACAAUUCUCUUGUAGACCCAUUUCCCACCAUGAAUGUGAAAGGGAUAGAAUCCCUGGAUUUGUCUUAUAAUCAAUUCCAUCUUAAGCAAAUACCCAAUUGGGUGACUUCCUCUCCUAUUAUUUUCUCUCUGAAGCUGGCAAAAUGUGGGAUUAAGAUGAACUUAAAUGGCUGGAAGCCAAAGGAGACAUAUUUCUAUGACUAUAUUGAUCUAUCUGAGAAUGAAAUUUCAGGCAGUCCCAUUUGGCUACUGAACCAGACAAGUGAUUUGGUUGGAUUUUGGGCUUCAGGGAACAAGUUGAAGUUUGAUCUGGGAAAUUUGAGGAUUGUUAAUACAUUGAAGCACUUGGAUUUGUCAAGGAAUUUGAUUUAUGGAAAGAUACCCAAUACAGUUUCUGGGUUGGAAAGUUUGAAUUUGAGUUAUAAUCAUCUAUGCGGAAAGAUUCCAGCAACAAAAUUCCCUGCCAGUGCAUUUGUAGGAAAUGACUGCUUGUGUGGUUCUCCACUAGCUCCUUGCAAGGCGUAGGAAGCCAAUAAAUUUGACCAACGAAAGGUUACCCUCGACUCUGUUGGAAAAGUUAACUAGGAAGGAAAUGGCUGGCACUACAUCAGAUUGCAAAAAAAUUGACAUGCUCUAAUUGAUAUUAAGAUGUACUAAUUUGUUGUAUUUUCUAUUUUGAUGUGGUAAAUAAUUUGGGAAUGUUCUCCUCUCUGAUAGUAACUUUUCCAACAGAGUCGAGGGUAACC
rnacentral:misc_RNA from 1 species